AAAAAUCCAAUACUUGUGGCACUGAAUGUUACAUGUAAGAUCAGGAUCAACUUUUGUUUUCUAGGGCACGUAAAAGGAAUCUAUAGCAACCACUCAUAUUAAUUAUAUAUGGUCAAUCUUCAAUUUUGAUUGGCAGUGAGUUGUUUAAAGAGAGACUCUUUAGCCUUUCUCAGACACUAAAGGUAAGACUCUCCUUUUCUCUAUCGUUUACUUUUGGCCCGAUUACAUGCAAUAAAAUAUCAAGACUUAGCGAUUUUCUUUAUCUUCUUUCACUUUCUCUUUAUAAAUAUUUACUUUAUAUUUCUGUAUACUUCUGUAUAUUUCUGUCUACUUGGGUCAUCUAUAUCAUUGUUUUCAUCAGAGCCGUGCUUAAAUUUUUUUUUUUUUUUUGGUAUAACGUGCUUAAAUUAUUUGUUACCAAGUAUAAUAAAACUACCGUCAGUUAAUGUUUUACAGUAAACUAAAAAAAUAAUUUAUAUAAAACUAUGAUACAAAAUGCGGUAAUU
rnacentral:lncRNA from 1 species